rnacentral:misc_RNA from 1 species
GUAGGUGAACCUGCGGAGGGAUCAUUCACAUGAUUUAUCUUUUUAAACAAACCGUGAACUUUAUAUACUAUUCGUGUUAUAUUUAUAUUUGUUGUAUUAAAAAACACUUCAAAUUUUAUAUCAACACUGUCAUUCGAUCUGAACAUAAGAUAGUUGGCUUGUUUUUUAUUAAAACUUUCUCAGCUUGAUUUUUUAUAAAACUAAACAUUUUCUAAUAUAAUCACCAAUUAAACAUAGAAACAACUCUAUGCCCUGGAUAUCUUGGUUCUC